UUGCAACAUGUUUUAACUGUCUCAGGCUCUCAACGUACGCUCGUCAAUUACAGAACAGAGGAUAUGAUUUUGCGUCGUAAGAGGUUUUCGUUGUUCGUUUCGAGCAGCGGCUGCGGUCUUGCGUCCCGUCAGGCCAUGAAAGAACAAAGGAGGAUAUCAUUUUGCCUCGUAAGGGGUAAGCUGUGUGAUAGAAGUGUGUGAUCAAGGUUCACUUGUAUUCAUACCAAGACUGUAUGUUUCGAGCGGCGGCUGAA